CCUCUCAUUAGUUUACACCAGAUCCCUUCCGUCCCGUGCCCAAGUCCCGCAGCACUAUCGCGCCCAAGAGGAUUCAAAAGGGAGCGGCGGCGGCGAGAGGCCCGGCGCCGACCGCAACCCUAGCCCGAAUCAGCACCCGCCGCCCCGGAGGGUGCCGCUGCGGCGGCCGAGGCCGACGACGAGGUGCGGCGCCUGUUCACGGCCCUCAGCCAGGUCCACGCCGACCUCGCCCUGGCGGUCUGCCGCAGGCGGAGCGGCGGUCCAUUGUUGACGAGGCGCGCUGGCGGCCCGUGCGGUCCCGAUCCCAGGUGCUGGUCCACCGGCGUGGAUGAGGAGCCCAGGAGCAGGCAAGUUGGCUAGAUCUCGCAGCCCCGGCCGUCCCGUCCACGUCCUAGGGUUCCGAGAUAUGGAUAUUUAAAGGAAUUGAUCUUGCUGAAAUUAAGAAAGAAUUUCAAAAUAUACCAAGAAGAAUGCCUUUGCCACAGUCAAUAAAGCUUUAUUAUAGACAUCUUUAUGCGUGUCUUAGUUAAUAAAGAUGAUAAAUUGGUGAUCUGUAAUCCAUAUAAUCUUCAUUUAGUGAGGACUCUAUGCUGUUGGUUGGUCUGUGCUAUUCUUCUUUUAUCGUCUAUAGAUGAUUAUGAGCAAGAUGCAAGGACACAAAAAGCCUGGGAUGCAGAAAGGUUAGAGGCGAGCUGCCGCUAGCGCACGGUGGCGUGCUGCAUCUCCCAUCGGUGCUUGCCACAGGAGAACUACAUCCCUGGCCUAUUCUUCUAUGCCUCAGCUGCUGCCUCUCCAAGCAAUGCCAAACCUAUAGGCUAUAACAGGUUCAGGAGGUUAUUGAAGGGGAUUGUGUAUGGAUGCCGACAUUCAGACUGGUCAGCUAAGAGACCAGGACACACAAAUCUGGAGAGGUCCUUGGUCAUCAGCUGGUCCAUCAUGGGGUAUGUAACUUCACUGAGAUCAUGCAUGCUCCUUAUAAGCUGGGGAUAUAAGUUCUUACGAUUAACUGUAUCAUCUAGCCGCGAGACGCCGCUUUUACUAUUAGAAUAACUUAAAAUCUUCUCUUCAAAUAAUGCAAUGCAAGGAUGAUUUUGACAUAUAGAUGUUGAUGUCCCAAGCUGAAUUUCAAGAUACUCAUGGCAGCAAUUUCCCACAAAAGUGGUGUGGGUUAAUUCGCUAUACUGUUAGAAUUACGCGAGGUAGGCGUGUAUCAUUGGGGUGGUACUGAGUCAACUAAGAGUCAGAAGCGCUAAUAUGUGUGCAUUACCUACUGUUGUAUAUUUUUCAAUCAUGCACUAUGUUCUCUUAAUGAUUAAUUGUGGAUGAAAUGGAUGAGGGCAAUAAUGCUCAUGUGCUUAUCCUGAAUGGAUGAACAGAACUCUAGAAACUUGAAUGGAAAGAACCUUUAAAGCA